GACGAACGCUGGCGGCGUGCUUAACACAUGCAAGUCGAACGGAAAGGCCCUGCUUUUGUGGGGUGCUCGAGUGGCGAACGGGUGUGUAACACGUGAGUAACCUGCCCUUGACUUUGGGAUAACUUCAGGAAACUGGGGCUAAUACCGGAUAGGAGCUCCUGCUGCAUGGUGGGGGUUGGAAAGUUUGGGCGGUUGGGGAUGGACUCGCGGCUUAUCAGCUUGUUGGUGGGGUAGUGGCUUACCAAGGCUUUGACGGGUAGCCGGCCUGAGAGGGUGACCGGCCACAUUGGGACUGAGGUACGGCCCAGACUCCUACGGGAGGCAGCAGUGGGGAAUAUUGCACAAUGGGCGGAAGCCUGAUGCAGCAACGCCGCGUGCGGGAUGACGGCCUUCGGGUUGUAAACCGCUUUCGCCUGUGACGAAGCGUGAGUGACGGUAAUGGGUAAAGAAGCACCGGCUAACUACGUG
rnacentral:rRNA from 1 species